UUCCAGCUGACGAGUUUCAAAUAGGACGAAACGCGUGUCCUAGAU
rfam:Schistosoma haematobium scaffold657_7, whole genome shotgun sequence.